rnacentral:rRNA from 1 species
AUUGAACGCUGGCGGCAGGCCUAACACAUGCAAGUCGAGCGAGCGGCGGACGGGUGAGCAAUGUAUGGGGACCUGCCCGAUAUAGGGGGAUAACUACUGGAAACGGUGGCUAAUAGCGCAUACUAUCCGUUGAACUCAAAUGGGUUUAGCUAGUGGGUGGGGUAAAGGCUCACCUCGGCGACGCUCUCUAGCUGGUCUGAGAGGAUGAUCGGCCACACUGGGACUGAGACACGGCCCAGACUCCUACGGGAGGCAGCAGUGGGGAAUAUUGCACAAUGGGCGAAAGCCUGAUGCAGCCAUGCCGCGUGUAUGAAGAAGGCCUUAGGGUUGUAAAGUACUUUCAGCGGGGAGGCGUUACCCGCAGAAGAAGCACCGGCUAACUCCGUGCCAGCAGCCGCGGUAAUUC